rnacentral:rRNA from 1 species
AGCGACGCGAGGCGUGACGCCCAGGCAGGCGUGCCCUCGGCCGAAUGGCCUCGGGCGCAACUUGCGUUCAAAGACUCGAUGGUUCACGGGAUUCUGCAAUUCACACCAAGUAUCGCAUUUCGCUACGUUCUUCAUCGAUGCGAGAGCCGAGAUAUCCGUUGCCGAGAG